GUCUAUAACCAUGCCACCCUGAAAGUGCCUGAUCUCAUCUGAUCUUGAAGGCGAACUAAGCAGAGCUGGGCUUGGUUUGUACUUGGAUGGGAGAAAAUGCAUCUUUAGUAGUAGGACACC
ensembl:rRNA 5S_rRNA 5S ribosomal RNA